UGGGGGAUAUUGCGCAAUGGGGGAAACCCUGACGCAGCAACGCCGCGUGAAGGAUGAAGGUUUUCGGAUUGUAAACUUCUUUGACGAGGGACGAUAAUGACGGUACCUCGAGAACAAGCCACGGCUAACUACGUGCCAGCAGCCGCGGUAAUACGUAGGUGGCGAGCGUUGUCCGGAUUUACUGGGUGUAAAGGGCGAGUAGGCGGGGAUCCAAGUCCGAUGUGAAAUGCAGGGGCUCAACCCCUGAGCUGCAUCAGAAACUGGAUUUCUUGAGUGAUGGAGAGGCAGGCGGAAUUCCUAGUGUAGCGGUGAAAUGCGUAGAUAUUAGGAGGAACACCAGUGGCGAAGGCGGCCUGCUGGACAUAAACUGACGCUGAGGCGCGAAAGCGUGGGGAGCAAACAGG
rnacentral:rRNA from 2 species